CCUGUGCAGAUCUGCUGCUGGAGGAGGAGAGCUGUGCGGACGCCCAGGACGGGGAGCUGGACGGGCUCUGGACGACUAUCUCCAUCUUCAUCACGCUCUUCCUGCUCAGCGUCUGCUACAGCGCCACCGUGACCCUCUUCAAGGUGAAGUGGAUCUUCUCAUCAGUGGUGGAGCUGAAGAGGACCAUCGUCCCCGACUACAGAAAUAUGAUCGGGCAGGGCGCCUAGAGCUCCUGUGAGCAGAGUCCAGGGUGGCCACAGAACCAUCUGGACAGCGUCCAUUAUUUCGAGCAUCAACCUGCACCAGGCCUGCUCCUUCACGCUCUGACCCAGCGACCUCUGACCUCUUGGCCAGCCUUGCCCGCAUCUCUACCCGCAGGCCUCAUGGUCACCAAAACCUGCCCCCAUCCCCGGAGACCCGAGUGGACAGCAGGCGUAGACCCCACCGAGCUGAUGGACGCUGAGGGCCUCUGGGAAGCCUGCAAGACACCAGUGGGCUGCGAGUCCCCCACGAGGAACACACACGUCGGAGUUCAGCUCUGCCUGGAGGAGCAGGAGGCUGGGUCCAGGGCAGUCUACACAGGGCACCCGCAUCUUGCCCAGGCCUGGAUCCAGACCGCAGGUCCCUGGGGGAGGAAGCUGAGUCCCCACACCCUAUGCACAGGGCCCAGCCCCCGCAUCUUACCCAGGCCUGGAUCCAGACCACAGGUCCCCGGGGGAGGCCCCUGUGUCAGAUCCCUGGGAACAGCUGUCCUGCAGGGGCCCAGCCUCCCAGCAGGCAAGCUCCUGGGAGGACCACUACCGGUCACUCAGGUCACCUCCACCGAGGACGCUGCUGGGAGCAGGGCCUGGGCCCACAGAGGCCGCAGGAGCGCCGGUGGGGAAGGGGUGACGUCCCGCCAACGGGCCGCCUGGAGACGGGCCUGGUGACCGGUUCCCAGUGGACAGAGCUGCAGGGGCUCCCAGGACACAGGACGGCAGGGCAGCCAGUCCAUCCGGUGGCCAACAGCCUGACACUCCCCCAGGAGCUCGGCCUGCACCGAGAGCGGGGGUGAGAGGUGAGACCAGAGACCCACAGAGGCCCAGCCCCGGGCCCCGGGCCCACCCCGCCUCUCGGGACAGACUCUCCCGUCGUUGCAGAAAUGUGCACGGGCUUCUCUGGAUGGGAGGCGCUGCCCCAGGACUGGAAGGACCACAGCCUGGGGCUUGGGAAGCUUCUGCUGCGCAAUGCGGUAGCCUGCUCUUUGCUGUCUCUUUAUCUCUUUAACGACAAUAAAGCGUCUUGACUUCACCCAG